AUCUGGUUUUAGCAGAGCGGGGAAGCUCUGGAGAGGUGAGCUAAGAAGCGGAGGCUGUGCUGAGCAGACUUGGAGCCAUGAAUAUAUUUGAUCGGAAGAUCAACUUUGAUGCCCUCUUAAAAUUUUCCCACAUAACUCCCUCGACACAGCAGCACCUAAAGAAGGUCUACGCCAGUUUUGCACUAUGUAUGUUUGUGGUGGCAGCAGGGGCCUAUGUCCAUGUGGUCACACACUUCAUCCAGGCUGGCCUGCUCUCCGCCCUGGGCUCCUUGGCCUUGAUGAUCUGGCUGAUGGCCACACCUCACAGCCGUGAGACCGAGCAGAAAAGGCUGGGGCUUCUCGCUGGCUUCGCCUUCCUUACAGGAGUUGGCCUGGGACCUGCUCUGGAGCUGUGCAUCACUGUCAACCCCAGCAUCCUCCCCACGGCCUUCCUGGGCACGGCCAUGAUCUUCACCUGCUUCAGCCUGAGUGUCCUCUACGCCAGGCGCCGGAGCUACCUGUUUCUGGGAGGUGUCUUGAUGUCAGCCAUGAGCCUCAUGUUCUUGUCCUCCCUGGGGAACCUUUUCUUUGGAUCCAUUUGGCUGUUCCAGGCAAACCUGUACCUGGGGCUGCUGGUCAUGUGUGGCUUUGUCCUCUUUGAUACUCAGCUCACUAUUGAAAAGGCUGAAAACGGAGAUAAGGAUUACAUCUGGCACUGCAUCGACCUCUUCCUGGAUUUCAUUACACUCUUCAGGAAGCUCAUGCUGAUCCUGGCCUUCAAUGAGAAGGACAAGAAGAAAGAAAAGAAGUGAACUGGCUGCUAGCCUUCCCAGCUCGCCUCCUCUCCCUCCGCCCCAUUUCUUUGCACACAUCACAGGUGUCGUGUUCUAUGAUAAUGAAAAGCAUCAGGAAA